GACGAACGCUGGCGGCGUGCUUAACACAUGCAAGUCGAACGGAAAGGCCCUGCUUUUGUGGGGUGCUCGAGUGGCGAACGGGUGAGUAACACGUGAGUAACCUGUCCUUGACUUUGGGAUAACUUCAGGAAACUGGGGCUCAUACCGGAUAGGAGCUCCUGCUGCAUGGUGGGGGUUGGAAAGUUUCGGCGGUUGGGGAUGGACUCGCGGCUUAUCAGCUUGUUGGUGGGGUAGUGGCUUACCAAGGCUUUGACGGGUAGCCGGCCUGAGAGGGUGACCGGCCACAUUGGGACUGAGAUACGGCCCAGACUCCUACGGGAGGCAGCAGUGGGGAAUAUUGCACAAUGGGCGGAAGCCUGAUGCAGCAACGCCGCGUGCGGGAUAACGGCCUUCGGGUUGUAAACCGCUUUCGCCUGUGACGAAGCGUGAGUGACGGUAAUGGGUAAAGAAGCACCGGCUAACUACGUG
rnacentral:rRNA from 1 species